rnacentral:lncRNA from 1 species
AUGUUAAAUGUGGGUGUACACACGCUGUCUCUUGCUGGUGAGCACUUACCUGUACAGAUAUGUUUUAUGUUUUGUUUUCUUUUUGAUCUAUUGUUGUUUGUGUUGGGAGUACUCAGCACCAUCCAGAUGAGUAGGAACCUCCAGACUGUGGCCAGCCCAAAUCCAUGACUGUGAACUCAAAGAUUUACACACUUAAAAAAGCACCACCAUACACACAGCUCACACAUCCGCAGUAUGAGCACACACAUACACGGUGAACAUUAAGGAGAACUACUGUCGGCAGCCAACACGGAGGUGGACCAGAUGAAACAGGACCUUUCUAGGAUGCUAGUCACAUUCCUCAUCUAUGGUACACAAUAGACGGUGGAGCUGACUAUGAGUGUGCACAUGUCAUAGUUAAUUUGUGUGUGUGAGAGGGACUGAAUGUAUGUAUGUGUGCGUAAAGGGCACAUUUGUGUAGAGACAUUUAUGUGCGCACAGGUACAUUGUUUAAGAGUGCAAACAUUUCCUUUGUUUUGUUUCUGUAUAGCUACCAAUUGUAAAUUGUGACAAGUAUGUGUCAAGAGUUUGUAAGAUGUAACUUUCUGAUAACUAUUGUACUAAAAUGCACUCAAUAAACGCCUUGGAAAACAAGUCAGUCACUUACGAUCUGUGACUCAAUGGGCGAUAAUUCUGGUUUCAUUAAUAGUGAGUCAAGAGAGGCAGAGGUUAUUAUUCAGUAACACAUACUGUCAGUGCUGUGUGUGACUGUGACAUCUAAUGCUUGGUUUCAUAAUGGCUAAAGACAUAAACAGCUUUUUGGCACCGCCACUCCAGCUGGCAGCAAGUGUUAAAAGCCAUCAGCCACUAAUAAACAAGCCAUCACUCUGCUUACAUGCAAACCCCCAAAAAAUGGCACUCCAAGAAAAGUGACAAUAUUUUGACAAACCAAACUCUUCUGGGUUUCAAACACAGACACACACAAGCAGCUACAGUAGUCUCAUAAAUUCACGUUGCCAGCAUUUCACACCCCAGAAAGCGUGUUGCACUGUAAUGAUAU